rnacentral:piRNA from 1 species
AGGGUUCCCGGAAUUUUACUCUAGC